CGUGUUAAGUGGAAAAGGAUGUGGGGAUUCUAAGACAACUAGGACGUUGGCUUAGAAGCAGCCAUUCAUUGAAAGAGUGCGUAAUAGCUCACUAGUCGAGAGUCCCUGCGCCGAAAAUGUCCGGGGCUGAAACACGACACCGAAGCUUAGGAAUGUGUAAACAUUGGUAGAGGAGCAUUGCUAGCGGGAUGAAGCCAUACCGUAAGGAGUGGUGGACUGCUAGGAAGAGAGAAUGCCGGAAUGAGUAGCGAGAUGAAGGUGAGAAUCCUUCAGGCCGAAUAUCUAAGGUUUCCAGAGUAAAGCUGAUCUGCUCUGGGUAAGUCGGGACCUAAGGCGAGGUCGAAAGACGUAGUCGAUGGAUAACAGGUUGAAAUUCCUGUACCGCAUAUAAACAGAACUGUGGGGACACAGACAGGGAAUGGAAUCCGGGAGUGGAUAUCCCGGUGCAAGCGAGGUAGGAGUGCUGUUGGCAAAUCCGCAGCACGAUCUGAAGACGUGACGCGUACCGAACAUAAGUAGGGAAGUCCAGGCCCCUGGCUGUCAAGAAAAGCCGCUAUUGUUUUAUAUGUGCCCGUACCGCAAACCGACACAGGUGGAUGAGGAGAGAAUCCUAAGGCCGACGGGAGAAGUAUUGUUAAGGAACUCGGCAAAAUGACUCCGUAACUUCGGGAGAAGGAGUGCCAUGAGAGUGGCCGCAGAGAAAUGGCCCAAGCAACUGUUUAGCAAAAACACAGGUCUAUGCAAAACCGCAAGGUGAAGUAUAUGGGCUGACGCCUGCCCGGUGCUGGAAGGUUAAGGGGAGAGGUUAGCGCAAGCGAAGCUUUGAACUUAAGCCCCAGUAAACGGCGGCCGUAACUAUAACGGUCCUAAGGUAGCGAAAUUCCUUGUCGGGUAAGUUCCGACCCGCACGAAAGGCGUAAUGAUUUGGGCACUGUCUCGACAAUGCACCCGGUGAAAUUGAAAUACCAGUGAAGAUGCUGGUUACCUGCGCCAGGACGGAAAGACCCCAUGGAGCUUUACUCCAGUUUGAUACUGGGAUUCGGCAUGGUAUGUACAGGAUAGGUGGGAGACUGAGAAGGUAUGACGUCAGUUGUACCGGAGUCGCUGUUGGGAUACCACCCUUACCAUGUUGGAUUUCUAACCUGUGGCCGUAAGCCGGUCAGGGGACAAUGUCAGGCGGGGAGUUUGACUGGGGCGGUCGCCUCCGAAAGGGUAUCGGAGGCGCUCAAAGGUUCCCUCAGAAUGGUUGGAAACCAUUCGAAGAGUGCAAAGGCAGAAGGGAGCUUGACUGUGACACCGACGGGUGGAGCAGGUACGAAAGUAGGACUUAGUGAUCCGGUGGUAUAA
rnacentral:rRNA from 1 species